GACGAACGCUGGCGGCGUGCUUAACACAUGCAAGUCGAACGGAAAGGCCCUGCUUUUGUGGGGUGCUCGAGUGGCGAACGGGUGAGUAACACGUGAGUAACCUGCCCUUGACUUUGGGAUAACUUCAGGAAACUGGGGCUAAUACCGGAUAGGAGCUCCUGCAGCAUGGUGGGGGUUGGAAAGUUUCGGCGGUUGGGGAUGGACUAGCGGCUUAUCAGCUUGUUGGUGGGGUAGUGGCUUACCAAGGCUUUGACGGGUAGCCGGCCUGAGAGGGUGACCGGCCACAUUGGGACUGAGAUACGGCCCAGACUCCUACGGGAGGCAGCAGUGGGGAAUAUUGCACAAUGGGCGGAAGCCUGAUGCAGCAACGCCGCGUGCGGGAUGACGGCCUUCGGGUUGUAAACCGCUUUCGCCUGUGACGAAGCGUGAGUGACGGUAAUGGGUAAAGAAGCACCGGCUAACUACGUG
rnacentral:rRNA from 1 species